rnacentral:rRNA from 1 species
CAGUCGCCACGGUAAAACGGAGGGUGCAAGCGUUAUCCGGAUUUAUUGGGUUUAAAGGGUCCGUAGGCGGAUCUGUAAGUCAGUGGUGAAAUCUCACAGCUUAACUGUGAAACUGCCAAUGAUACUGCAGGUCUUGAGUAAAUUUGAAGUGGCUGGAAUAAGUAGUGUAGCGGUGAAAUGCAUAGAUAUUACUUAGAACACCAAUUGCGAAGGCAGGUCACUAAGAUUUAACUGACGCUGAUGGACGAAAGCGUGGGGAGCGAACAGGAUUAGAUACCCCAGUAGUCCCUGUCUCUUAUAC